rnacentral:rRNA from 1 species
GACGAACGCUGGCGGCGUGCUUAACACAUGCAAGUCGAACGGAAAGGCCCUGCUUUUGUGGGGUGCUCGAGUGGCGAACGGGUGAGUAACACGUGUGUAACCUGCCCUUGACUUUGGGGUAACUUCAGGAAACUGGGGCUAAUACCGGAUAGGAGCUCCUGCUGCAUGGUGGGGGUUGGAAAGUUUCGGCGGUUGGGGAUGGACUCGCGGCUUAUCAGCUUGUUGGUGGGGUAGUGGCUUACCAAGGCUGUGACGGGUCGCCGGCCUGAGAGGGUGACCGGCGACAUUGGGACUGAGAGACGGCCCAGACUCCUACGGGAGGCAGCAGUGGGGAAUAUUGCACAAUGGGCGGAAGCCUGAUGCAGCAACGCCGGGUGCGGGAUGACGGCCUUCGGGUUGUAAACCGCUGUCGCCUGUGACGAAGCGUGAGUGACGGUAAUGGGUAAAGAAGCACCGGCUAACUACGUG